UGCCGCUGAUGACCUUGCCAUGCUAAUACGGACCGGCGUGGGGCCGGGCUGAGUUCAACCAUUCUCAAGUCGUUUCUGAGGCAC